UCGUUAAUCUUCUUUACUGUCUAAAAUUGCAAUUCUUGCGUCAUCCUUGCAAACGGCUGUGAAGAUUAGAGGAAGAAACAAAUGAAUAUGGAGGAAAAGUGAUGAUCAUGAAGAUGAACAAAGUGUUAGAGGUUGACUUACAGAGUUUUAAUCAAACGAUAAAAGACGAUUGAAACAACAGAAUCUUAAUAGCGAAUAGACGUGUUUUAUUAUUGAAUUAAAGUCUCUAUCAAUUAUUAUAAUGACGCUAGAGAAGUUACAAUUAUACCUAUCACAUCUUCCAAUCAUCUCUCAUCACUUUAAUCAUCAUCUUUCCCUACUUUUUUCUUGUAAUCAUUAAUAGAUAAUAUGACAUUAUAAGAUAAAGACUAUUUUCUAGUUGCCUAUUGUUCGAUAAUCCAAUCAAUUGUUUUACAUUAUGUACAUUUUUAUCUCAUCAACAUUUAUCGCUUAUUGAAAAUUUACCAAAAAAACAACAUUUUCAAAAGCUCUCAACUUUUCCAUGAUAUUUACCAACGCAAGAAGCUUUCAUUUUUUAAAAGCUUAUCUCUAAAAAAAUUGAACUUAUUCGUCAAUCUGAAAGCUAACAUUUAGUUACAUUUACCGUAAGGCUUAAGUAUAAGAUCUUAUCUCUUUUGGUCUCGACAAGGCUCUGUCUUUACCAGCUUCCAUUUUACCUUUACUUUCUUUUUGUCUGGUUAAUGUUCAUGUUUUUUUUGUUCCCAUGAGUUUCAUUUUUCCCCUUCUUUUGGUGAAAUAUAAUUCGAUUUCUGUUCAUCUCUAUUGUCAUUAAAAUGAAAACUGUGAUUGAAAAUUGUCUCUGUUCAUCAUUAUCGGCUAAUAACCUAUUGUCAUCGAUCUCUGUUUUAUGCAUGAUCGUUUGCUAUUGAUAGUAAUCAUUGUAUUAAUCAAUUAUGGUUCAUUAAUGGUUCUCUACCAGUUCGUCUGAUUUUACGCUUUUGAUCAUGCUUGUCAUCAGCUGAUCAACAUUCCAUUGUUACUUCAUCAGGAUCGUUUGUGGCUUUAUUUUUCCCUGGGAACCAAAGAGUUUUAUAUACAUAGUUAACAAAGAUUUGGUGGAAGUUUUGUUUCUUGCUUCAGUCGCACUUGUUGUUGUUCAUCAUGGACACUUUUGCUGAUUUUGGCAAAAAAAAUUUCAUACAUUUUCUUCCAUUCUUUGACCACUGGUAAAAACUGUCCAUGAACUCAACACCUAUGGGACCACCUUUGUCCAGCAUGGUUGCCGGCUACCUGUUGAACAUUUGAAAAACCAACUCAUUUGGUUGCGACUGAUUGAUUACCAUGAGAAUCGCAUUUCUGGUUAACAUGGAUCACUUGAUAUUUGGUUCCUCUUUCAAUUUUGAGAUCCUUCAUUGAGUCCAAAUUUACCGGCAAUUACUUAGCUAACAAUUUAAUAUAAUCAAAUGGUGUUUUAUUGAGUCGAUGAAACCUGAACCUCUGAUGAUUAAGUGGUCUGGUUAAUAGCUGACUUACAGUUGAGGUGAUCAAAUCAAUUAUUUACAAUAAUCAACCCAGCUAACCAAACAAUGAGUAUUCCUAGAUAUUGUCAUUUUGUCACUUUGUCAGUGUUUCAUCUUGAUUGCCAAAAGGAAACAACCCAUCAAAUUUUCUUACCAGAUAAUAAUCGUUUGUUACAUGAGUUUCAAGCAGAUGAAAUUUAUAAUUGUGAAUGUGUCAAGUUGAAUUAACGAGGAACAGGCGAUAAUAAUAAGUUAUGGUUAACUAUUCAUUGUGAAUUAUUUGAUUCCAUUGGACUGACGAUUUACUUACCCCAUACUUACUCAAAGAUACUAUCGAGCUUUGGAUGGUUAAACAGCAGGAGGCAACAUCUUUUUGCAACAUUGUUACUUUUUUAUUGAGUUAAUUGCCAAUCCAAUCGCAGAUCCAGCUCAUCAUUUACUGAAAACAAGCACUUGGUUAACCUCUAUAAAUAAUAAAAUCUUGGUUACUCUAAAGCUGAUCUUCUAGUAACCACGGCACGACCAUUCAUAAUUAACUUCAUCUAUCAUCUUAACCAACACAAACAGUUUAAUUUCAAUGUAUUUGACUUGGAAUGACUUUGAAAGGCUUGGAAACCCAAAAGAUCGCCUAAAUUCCCUGCUAAUAUUUACAAGCAAUUGUUGAACCCAAAAUCGGCAAAGACUUCAAGUUACCAAGCUUAUUCCAAAAGACCCCUUUUCACCAGAAUUUUUACUGAGGUCUCCCAGAGGAGGGAAAAAUCAGCAGUAGUUUAAUGAUAAUGAAACAAAGAUGGAGCUGAUGAUUAUAGAAAUUCUGUUUCUCAUUACUGUAAUCAUUACAGUGGAAUGGUAUGAGCCAAGGCUAAAAACUAGGAACCUGUCAUCAUGGCAAAAAGGAGCGGAGAGAGUAAAAGAGGAUCAUCAAGCAACAAACCUCAUCUUUAACUUUCCUUUCCCUUCCCAUCUCCACUUACCUAUCAUAAUCUUUCACUUCAAUCUUUAAAUUCAGGUUAAUUUUUCGUCCGUUAAUAAUUUUAUUAUAUCUGAGGCUAAAAAAUAACCGAUAACAAAUCGUAAACAAUUUAGUUUUCCUACAAAGCCACCAGCACUUGUAGCUUCUAGUCUUUCAAAUUGAUAGCUUGAUCAUUUUUAAUUCACAAUGCCAUUUCAAACGAAUAGAUAAUGAAUUCCGGGUACAAUGAGCGACCCACUGUUAACAGUAUCGCUUAUCUUCCACGAAUUUUCACGCUAUCUAUUUUGUUAAUGUCAUUUGAUCAAAUUUGUUUACGCAAAUUGAGAUCGACUUCAAUUGUGUUUUAGUAAUCUCAGAAACAAUAUGAUAUUAGCUUACGCUUUUUCCUCGCAAUUUUUUACGUAAUUGUUGUUAAAUAUUGUUUUUACAUUUUGCCUACACUUGAGGGAUCAGUGAAAAAAGACUGAAUAAAAGACUUAUCAGAUAGUCUAACUGUCAUGACAAAUUGCCAUAACAACAGAAGAAAGUGUCUUUAAUUUUCCACUAACAAUCGAAAUCAAGUGUAACCUGAGAUUAUCUUUUCGAGUUUUUCCCUUUUAUUAAUACUUUUCUGUCUCAGUCCAAAGCCCUUUCUCAUAACUUGGUUAUUAUUUUACAGAAUUAUUUUGUUUCUCCUUUUUCCACAAUUAAUUAUCGUUAGCCUUUCUCUGUAAACAUCAUCAUUACCAACAUAAAAUUCAAGUUAUCUUCAACACAAGAUCAAGAAAGGAGAUAUCAGACGCCAAAACAAGAGACAACAAAACUAAAAUGAAACUAUCAAUUGAAAUAAUCUCUUACCUGAAGGACAACCCAAGAACUCAGCCAUCUUUAAACUAGGAAUCUAAUGCUAAAAGCAAUGUACAUACUUUGAAGAAAGAUUGAUUCCCAAUCAAGGGCAAAACUGUUAAAUCAAAUUCACACUACCUUAACUUGCCUCCCAUCAUAAUUAUUAUCAAAUAAAAAUGAUGAUGAUGGUGAUGAUUAGAGGAAAGGAAAAGGACUUCAGAAAUGGAAAGAAUCUGCAUCCAGAAAACAACUCACCUGUAAGAAGAUUCAACAGGUCUUCAAAGUGAUACUUGAGCAGAAAAAUCAGUCAUUUUUGUCAGUUCAGAUAGAUAGCUUUUGAUGAACAUUUUGUUUCUUAAAUUCAAUAUUCUUGUUACUCUGGAGCUGUGAGAUUAACAAACUUAACCAAGGAAACUUAAUCUUUUCACAUUGCAUGAUAUUUCUGCAAAUCCAGUGUUUAUUAGGUGAACAGAUAAUAUAAACAUGUAACAUCAUAAGAAUAUCAUUUCAUCUCUUGUGAAAAAAAGAUGAAGCUAAGCAAGAAAAAAAUACUUGAAAAUAUCUUUUACUAAUCUAUUUUUUCCUACCUUAUCAACAGGUUAACUCAUAUUGUGAAUAAUAUCCACCAAGGACCAGGAAAACUGAUAUGGUCACGAAAAAGAUUAGACAUUUUUUGGUUCCAGGUUAAUCAGUUUAGGCAAAAACCUGAUUCACAUUUAAAGAUGGAACGCUAUUAUAGAAUAAUGGUUAUUUAUAUUUUACCUUUUGACUUUAAACCAUUGUUGUUUAAUAUCGCUAAUUAUUUUGACAUUAAUAAGGCUCAAAACACAAUUUAAACUAAUGUUAUAUUAAUAAGAGCUUAAAACCUUUGCGGUGUGUUAGCAAUUUGAACAAGAAUUACAUGAAAAUGGUAAGAAUUGUUUUCUUAUUUUGAGCUCAACGUCCACUUUGUUGAAUAGCAUCAACAACCAACAUCUGAUUGCCAUACUUUUUCAAUUAUGAAGGGCUAAGUGUCAUUUAAAACUGCUAAAUAAGCUUUGGAUUAAACGAUUUGCAAGAAAAAACAACCGGACUGUCAUUAAUCCUAAUUUCGGGACAAUCAGCAUCGGGAAACCAAAUAAUUUUCAGUUUAAAAAGGGUUUUUCUUGGGUUUUCUCGAAUUUUUUGGUAAUAUCUUUGAAAUUUGAAUAUUUUGUUAUAUCAGCCAUUUUUGCUGAUUGGAAUAAUUUACUCAGAAAGUGAGAAAAAAGUUGAAAUAAAUCAAUAUUCUUGAUACUCUUGAGCUGUGAGAUUAACAAACCCAACCAAUGAAACCUAAUCUUUUCCCAUUGCAUGAUAUUUCUGCAAAUCCAGUGUUUAUUAGGUGAACAGAUAGUAUCAACAUGUAACAUUAUUCAUAAGAAUAUCAUCUGUUGUGAAAAAAUAAACUUGAAAAUAUCUUUUA